ACACUUCACAUUAAGCGGGCGGGGCCUAUAUAGGUCCUGCCCGUUUUUGCGGGCUAUGGCGAUAAACUGCGGCGUGCAAUAGGCGCAACGGACCCGGGGGCAGUACCCGGCGGCUCCACCACAAAGCCCGGCGAAAUCCGGGGUUUAUGACGGGGCCGAACCAGGAUCGACGUGUGUUGAAAGACGUUGUUUUCGCCCGGGCUGAGUAACCCGUUCAAGGCUCAAAACCUACAAGUGCCAACGACAACGAAGCACUUGCUCUCGCUGCGUAAUGUGACGGCCUAACGGCCUGAAUUUACAAAGCCUAGAGCACGGUUCGGACCGAACCGGGUAACAGAAUCGGAAACC
rnacentral:tmRNA from 1 species